ACCAAAAGAUAAAUUCCUCCAGCUCAAUAUUCCUUGAAAGUUCACUCAUACUCCUUGUUGUCAGAAGCUGAAGAAUAUGAAAGUGGUGCCUUCGAAUCCAACAGCUUCAAAGACCAGGUGUCCACCCAUGCAUUCCUUAAAUUUUCAGUAAGCAGAUUACCAAAAAGGAAUCCUGGACAAAAAUAUUUAGCAUUGGAUACCUCCUUAGUUUAAAAAAUGUUGUGCGCAAGGGCUGCUAAUGGUAAAGAUAACCGACCAUUUCAUUGAAGGAUGCAACAUAAAUUGUUUAUAGAAGCUUGCCUCAAGGAAUGAUGUCCAAGGGGUGCGAUGU